ACGGAGAUGCAGUAACAAGGAACUUCACAUAUGCGUUUGUUCCGUAAUUAUUACUAUCCGUUCUCUGUUCCCCUACCUACGCAAUUUCGUAUCGUUUCUAUAACGCAUUCUACGAUACGCGAGAAGAAUUACUCGCGCCACACGAAAACUUCAUUCUCAUUGGCCGUUGAAAUCUGGCGCGUGCUUUAUUGACCAAUCCCUCCAAAGUUUAAAUAAUUCAAUCGACGAUGAUUAUUGGCGGAGUUCUUUCGAGUACAUACGAUGCAUUUAUAAAAAGUGCACUCGAACGUUUAUGAAUAAUAACGAAUUAUUUGUCAACGGUUACGUAAAAAUGCGUAAAUUUUAAUAAAAACAAAAUUUCUCAAGGAUAAUGGUUGCAUGUUUGACGAUCAUUUUUGAUCUUAAAUCAACUUCCUUGCACGGAAUACUUAAGACACGCGAUCUUAAGCGACAAGCGGCCAUUGAUGGUACAUGGUUCACCUGUAUUCUGCAAUAAUGUUGUAAUUUUAGCAUAAAUAUUUAAAGAUUCAGUUAUAUAAAGAAGGACAAGUGGGUAUUGUUGUUGGACUACCGGCGUUCUGCGUCAAUUCUGUGAUAACUAGAAGAAGGCACGUAACGGUCGAUAACAACGACGCGGUUUAAAACGGGCCGACGUGGCAGCGGCACGUAUUUUCGUCCACGAAAUGCCAAGAAGACGAGUUCGAGAGCCCGUACCGAUCACCGGAUGUUAUCAGCGUACAUAUAUGUACUACUUAUGUAUAUAUGUACACAAUGGUUGAAAGUAACUUGAUCAGUGCAAAUUCCGCGAUUGUUGUUUUACUACCAAUAACAUAGAUAUACACAAAUUAUAUAUUUAUAUGGAUGCAUGUAUUGUAAAUGAAUGAUCCGAUAAAUGUAAACAUAAGAUAUACAUACAUAUUAUCAAGAAACAUGUAACUCUAUUGUUAAUAAAAUACUCUAUAUAGAUAGGAAGAAACGUGCGCACAUGUACAAUGAUUUGGAGUAGGGCAAGUAGU
rnacentral:lncRNA from 1 species